rnacentral:rRNA from 1 species
GACGAACCGUCCUAACGUUGUUCGGAAUCACUGGGCUUAAAGGGCGCGUAGGCGGGUCAGCAAGUCCGGGGUGAAAUCUUUCGGCUUAACCGGAAAAGUGCCUUGGAUACUGCUGGUCUAGAGGGAGGUAGGGGCAUGUGGAACUUCUGGUGGAGCGGUGAAAUGCGUUGAUAUCAGAAGGAACGCCGGUGGCGAAAGCGACGUGCUGGAUCUCUUCUGACGCUGAGGCGCGAAAGCCAGAGGAGCAAACGGG